UGAGGAAUAUUGGUCAAUGGGCGUGAGCCUGAACCAGCCAUCCCGCGUGCAGGAAGACGGCCUUAUGGGUUGUAAACUGCUUUUCUACGCCAAGAAACGGCCUUACGUGUAAGGCACUGACGGUAGCGUAGGAAUAAGCAUCGGCUAACUCCGUGCCAGCAGCCGCGGUAAUACGGAGGAUGCAAGCGUUAUCCGGAUUCAUUGGGUUUAAAGGGUGCGCAGGCGGGGAUGUAAGUCAGUGGUGAAAAGCUGCCGCUUAACGGUAGUCUUGCCAAUGAUACUACAUUUCUUGAGUAUGGUUAAGGUAGGCGGAAUGUGCAGUGUAGCGGUGAAAUGCAUAGAGAUUGCACAGAAGGCCGAUUGCGGAGGCAGCUUACUGAGCCAUAACUGACGCUGAGGCACGAAAGCGUGGGGAUCGAACAGG
rnacentral:rRNA from 1 species